rnacentral:rRNA from 1 species
AAAUUGAAGAGUUUGAUCAUGGCUCAGAUUGAACGCUGGCGGCAGGCCUAACACAUGCAAGUCGAGCGGUAACACAGGGAGCUUGCUCCCGGGUGACGAGCGGCGGACGGGUGAGUAAUGUCUGGGAAACUGCCUGAUGGAGGGGGAUAACUACUGGAAACGGUAGCUAAUACCGCAUAACGUCGCAAGACCAAA